GAAGACUCACUUGACUAGCUGAGAGGAGGUGCAUGGCCGUCGUCAGUUCGUACUGUGAAGCAUCCUGUUAAGUCAGGCAACGAGCGAGACCCACGCCAACAGUUGCCAGCUCGUCCUCCGGGAUGAGGGGACACUGUUGGGACCGCCUCUGCUAAAGAGGAGGAAGGAAUGGGCAACGGUAGGUCAGCAUGCCCCGAAUUAUCUGGGCUACGCGCGGGCUACAAUGGGUGGGACAAUGGGUAUCGACACCGAAAGGUGAAGGCAAUCUCCUAAACCCAUCCUUAGUUCGGAUUGUGGGCUGCAACUCGCCCACAUGAAGCUGGAAUCUGUAGUAAUCGUGUUUCAAAAUAGCACGGUGAAUAUGUCCCUGCUCCUU
rnacentral:rRNA from 1 species